rnacentral:lncRNA from 1 species
CCAAAUAAUGUGGUUCUGCGACCGUAUAAUCAACAACAUGGAAAUCAACACCCCAUUAGUUUACAUGUCCUUUGGAGCAUGCAGUUGUAAUAAUGUCCAAAGGCUCUAUUUGUGCUGACCAAUAGAGCAAGACAAUCCCAGAGUCCAGCAAAAUUAUGGAAGAUCGGACCAAGUUUUUAAUUCUUCAAGGGUGCAAGCUGUCCAAAGACCUUGAAUCAAACCUACCAACUUCAGCAAACCAGCCCCAGAUAAGCGCAACCGAGAC